rnacentral:rRNA from 1 species
GUGAGGAAUAUUGCGCAAUGGAGGCAACUCUGACGCAGCCAUGCCGCGUGCAGGAAGAAGGCGCUACGCGUUGUAAACUGCUUUUAACCGGGAAGAAACCCCAGGACGUGUCCUGGGUUGACGGUACCGGAGGAAUAAGCACCGGCUAACUUCGUGCCAGCAGCCGCGGUAAUACGAAGGGUGCAAGCGUUAUCCGGAUUCAUUGGGUUUAAAGGGUGCGUAGGCGGAGCGUUAAGUCAGUGGUGAAAUCCUGCAGCUUAACUGUAGACUUGCCAUUGAUACUGGCGCUCUUGAGUGCGCUUAAAGUGGGCGGAAUGUGCCGUGUAGCGGUGAAAUGCUUAGAUAUGGCACAGAACACCAAUUGCGAAGGCAGCUCACUAAGGCGAUACUGACGCUGAGGCACGAAAGCGUGGGGAUCGAACAGGAUUAGAUACCCGAGUAGUCC